rnacentral:rRNA from 1 species
GACGAACGCUGGCGGCGUGCUUAACACAUGCAAGUCGAACGGAAAGGCCCUGCUUUUGUGGGGUGCUCGAGUGGCGAACGGGUGAGUAACACGUGAGUAACCUGCCCUUGACUUUGGGAUAACUUCAGGCAACUGGGGCUAAUACCGGAUAGGAGCUCCUGCUGCCUGGUGGGGGUUGGAAAGUUUCGGCGGAUGGGGGUGGACUCGCGGCUUAUCAGCUGGUUGGUGGGGUAGUGGCUUACCAAGGCUUUGACGGGUAGCCGGCCUGGGAGGGUGACCGGCCACAGAGGGACUGGGAUACGGCCCAGACUCCUACGGGAGGCAGCAGUGGGGAAUAUAGCACAAUGAGCGGAGUCCGGAAGCAGCAACGCCGCGUGCGGGAGGACUUCCAUCGGGUUGGAAACCGCGUUCGCCUGUGACGAAGCGUGAGUGACGGUAAUGGGUAAAGAAGCACCGGCUAACUACGUG